UAACCCCAGUCUUUGUACAGUGCCUGGGCACGUAGUAAGUGCUUAAAAAAUACUCUGAAAAAAGGGAGCUCUGCAAGGCUCUCUCUGAAACUCUGCCCCUCUGGCAUGGAUGCUCACUUUGGGCAAGGAACGUGACUCCCGACUCUCUUAUACGCUCACCAGAGCUUAGAACAGUGCUCUGCACGCAGUAAGCACUCAAAUAUCACAGCUCGAUCGAUUGAUUGAUGCCAAUAUGCAGGAAGAGCUCCAGAAAUUCGGCGCAGUUCUGAAGGUCGAAAAUCUUUAGGCUCCAAUGCAACCAGAAAAGUCCAGGGAGAACCGUUCCGCCCUGUUCCUCUGGAGCUUCGCCGAGACCGAGACGGACAUUUCAGACAAAGCCCGCCAGGCUCCGUGCAUCAUCUGAAAGCCCUGGAUGGGAUGCCCGUUUGGAGGGACAGUUGGAUCACUGGGAACCAGGACGUCUUGCUCCCAUGGGGAUCAGUCACAGCGGAAGCUUUUAUCUAGAGGAUCAAGCUGUCCCUCAGGUUAACUGGACCCCGAAUUUCAGUAACGUACACAGACACACACGAAGCGGUGGAAGCUUCAGGAAGCAGCGCGGCUCAGUGGCAAGAGCCCGGGCUUGGGAGU